rnacentral:rRNA from 1 species
AAUGAACGCUGGCGGCAUGCCUAACACAUGCAAGUCGAACGAAAGCACCGGAACUUUUGGCCCAUGGUGGUGUCACGCGUCGGAACCGUCCCUCAUGUAUGGAAUACCUCUCCGACUGGGGUGCUAACACGGGAUCAGAUCUUCUAACCAAAGAUAUAUCGCACUGGAUGGGGCACGCGUUGAAUUAGCUAGUUGGUAGGGUAAUAGCCUAUUACGGCGACGAUCCAUAGCUGGUUAGAGAGGAUGAUCAGCAACUCUGGGACUCAGAAACGGCCCAGACUCCUACGGGAGGCAGCAGAGGGGAAUAUAGCACAAUGGGGGAAGGGAUGAUGCAGCAAUGCCGCGUGAGUGAUGAAGGCCUUAGGGUUGUAAAGCUCUUUUACCCGGGAUGAUAAUGACAGUACCGGGAGAAUAAGCUCCGGCUAACUCCGUG